rnacentral:rRNA from 1 species
UACGUAGGGCGCAAGCGUUGUCCGGAAUUAUUGGGCGUAAAGAGCUCGUAGGCGGCUUGUCACGUCGGAUGUGAAAGCCCGAGGCUUAACCUCGGGUCUGCAUUCGAUACGGGCUAGCUAGAGUGUGGUAGGGGAGAUCGGAAUUCCUGGUGUAGCGGUGAAAUGCGCAGAUAUCAGGAGGAACACCGGUGGCGAAGGCGGAUCUCUGGGCCACUACUGACGCUGAGAAGCGAAAGCAUGGGGAGCGAACAGG